rnacentral:rRNA from 1 species
CUCAUGGGAGAAUCCUGAAGCAGCACGCCGCGUGGAGGAUGAAAUACUUUUGUAUGUAAACUCCUGUAAGAAGGGAAAAAUAUGCAAUUAUUUCGCGUUGAUUGUACCUUCAGAGUAAGCCCCGGCUAACUACGUGCCAGCAGCCGCGGUAAUACGUAGGGGGCUAGAGUUGUCCGGAUUUACUGGGUGUAAAGGGUGCUCAGGCGGAUUUGUAAGUCAGAGGUGAAAUCCCAAAGCUUAACUUUGGAGCUGCCUUUGAUACUGCAAGUCUUGAGUGUGAGAGAGGGUAAUGGAAUAUCUGGUGUAGCAGUGAAAUGCGUAGAUAUCAGAUAGAACACCAAUGGCGAAGGCAGUUACCUGGCUCAAUACUGACGCUAAAGCACGAAAGUGUGGGGAGCAAACAGGAUUAGAUACCCUGGUAGUCCACGCCCUAAACGAUGCUAACUCGAUGUUUCGCCGUAAGGUGGAGCAUCCAAGCAAAUGCGAUAAGUUAGCCACGUGGGGAGUACGCCCGCAAGGGUGAAACUYAAAGGAAUUGACGG